UUUAUUGGAGAGUUUGAUCCUGGCUCAGGAUGAACGCUGGCGGCGUGCCUAAUACAUGCAAGUCGAGCGAACGGAUUGAGAGCUUGCUCUCAAGAAGUUAGCGGCGGACGGGUGAGUAACACGUGGGUAACCUGCCCAUAAGACUG
rnacentral:rRNA from 1 species